GUAUGAAGUUGGAAUCGCUAGUAAUCGCGGAUCAGCAUGCCGCGGUGAAUACGUUCCCGGGCCUUGUACACACCGCCCGUCACACCAUGAGAGUCGGGAACACCCGAAGUCCGUAGCCUAACCGCAAGGGGGGCGCGGCCGAAGGUGGGUUCGAUAAUUGGGGUGAAGUCGUAACAAGGUAAC
rnacentral:rRNA from 1 species